GGAUAUAACUCAGUUGGUAGAGUGUUUGCCUCACAAGCAGAAGGUCCUGGGUUCAAUCCCCGGCGGCACCC